rnacentral:rRNA from 1 species
UCCAUGUGGGGCAAGCGUUGUUCGGAAUUACUGGGCAUAAAGGGUGCGUAGGCGGCGCGUCAAGUCACUGGUGAAAGUUUGCGGCCCAACCGUAAAAUUGCCGGCGAUACUGGCGUGCUUGAGUGCGUGAGGGGUUGGGGGAACGAGUGGUGUAGCGGUGAAAUGCGUAGAGAUCACUCGGAAGGCCAGAGCCGAAGGGGCCCAACUGGUACGCAACUGACGCUGAGGCACGAAAGCGUGGGGAGCAAACAGG